rnacentral:rRNA from 1 species
UGGGGAAUUUUGGACAAUGGGGGCAACCCUGAUCCAGCCAUUCCGCGUGAGUGAAGAAGGCCUUCGGGUUGUAAAGCUCUUUUGUCCGGAACGAAACGGUUAGCGUGAAUAUCGCUGACUACUGACGGUACCGGAAGAAUAAGCACCGGCUAACUCUGUGCCAGCAGCCGCGGUAAUACGGAGGGGGUUAGCGUUGUUCGGAAUUACUGGGCGUAAAGCGCGCGUAGGCGGAUUAGAAAGUUAGGGGUGAAAUCCCAGGGCUCAACCCUGGAACUGCCUCUAAAACUCCUAGUCUUGAGGUCGAGAGAGGUGAGUGGAAUUCCGAGUGUAGAGGUGAAAUUCGUAGAUAUUCGGAGGAACACCAGUGGCGAAGGCGGCUCACUGGCUCGAUACUGACGCUGAGGUGCGAAAGCGUGGGGAGCGAACAGGAUUAGAUACCC